rnacentral:lncRNA from 1 species
CAAUAAGUUAAAAUUAAACUCUCUAUAGCUAGAUACCCCAUAUAUUUCUAGAUUGUAAAUCACGUCAUAUGACAAUGGUUCCUAUUAUAACUAAAAAAACUUGUUUUCUAACACAUUGUCUUCUUUGGAAAUUGUGCUCCUCAUUUUGUAAUUGCAUUGCUUCUUUGGACAAUAUUGAGCAAUGUGCUUAGCUUCUCUAUAAUAUAACCAUAAAUCCUUUUGAUGAUGUUGAAUUUUUUUAUACUGUGUGAAGGAUUUAAAACAUAAUAUAUCAAUUUGGUUU